rnacentral:rRNA from 1 species
UGGGGAAUUUUGGACAAUGGGCGAAAGCCUGAUCCAGCCAUGCCGCGUGAGUGAAGAAGGCCUUCGGGUUGUAAAGCUCUUUUAGUCGGAAAGAAAGAGUCGCAAUGAAUAAUUGUGAUUUAUGACGGUACCGACAGAAAAAGCACCGGCUGACUACGUGCCAGCAGCCGCGGUAAUACGUAGGGUGCGAGCGUUAAUCGGAAUUACUGGGCGUAAAGGGUGCGCAGGCGGUCUUGCAAGUCAGAUGUGAAAGCCCCGGGCUUAACCUGGGAAUUGCGUUUGAAACUACAAGGCUAGAGUGCAGCAGAGGGGAGUGGAAUUCCAUGUGUAGCAGUGAAAUGCGUAGAGAUGUGGAAGAACACCGAUGGCGAAGGCAGCUCCCUGGGUUGACACUGACGCUCAUGCACGAAAGCGUGGGGAGCAAACA